AAGAAAAAGGUAAGAAUCCAUUAAUACAAGAGCUGUCGGUCACAAUAAUAUGCUAAUGCUCAAAUUCAGUAAACCUCCUAGUUUUUAGAACACUCCUUGACAGACAGGCCCACAAAUCUCUUGGCAAAAAUUUCAUGUUCUACAAGGAAGAAGCUUCACCACUUUUGGGAAAUACAAAUCCCUUUAUCUUGUCAGGGCACUGACAAGUACUUUAAACAUUUGAAGAAAGAAAAUUUCAGAGGCAUGACUCUCCAACACUGACCUUUACAGAGAGGCUACUUUGCAAUAUGGUGCCACAAAUGUUGUUCUUACACAAAUAUUAGACAUUAUUCUAGUUUUUCCUGCAUAUAAAUAGCCUGUAAGACCAGUUCUCUGUCUGUCUGAAUUGCAGAUCAUGGGUAAGAGCACUCUGUGUUCACAGGAAAGAUCUACUCAAAGCUAGCAGUUUCCUCAUAGAUGAAGCAAAAUGAACAAAGGCUCAGGUAUGUUUAAUAAGGGAUAUGAAACCUAUCAUCUCAAAAUACUAAGGAACCAACACUACUGAGCCCAUCACUAAAACUGAGAACAGUAGGUUUUUGAGGUACAACUAUUUACAAUCAUUAGUAGGCAACUGUCAAUCCUCUGGAUCAUGGUGUAUGCCUAAGAGGUCUAGUCAUCAAGACCUUUGAUGCAUACACCUAGGCAACAGUAUGAAGGAGCAGAGGCUGCCCAAGACCUACCAUCCCUCCUUUAGAUCACUGAGAUAGAAUCCAAAGGCCAGAUUGAGUCCAGAUAUUCUGUGCCUGAAUGGUUGUAGCUUCUGCCAGAGAGUAACAGAUGAGAACUGCUGCUGAUGGUCUAAUGCCUCAGUGAGGAAGCACUUCUGUCAGGGUGAUGUCCCCAGCCUCUCUCCAACCAAGGAGUACCCAACAAGGCAGCAGGGGCUGGGGGUGAGGCACCCUAUACUCACCUUACUCUGGAGGUUGCAAAGUUGUAGCAUUUUAUAGGAGCUCCCUGCCACGAUAGCCCCACCACGUUGCCACCAGGCCUUCCAGUUGGAUGCAGUUUAUGGUCAUACCGAGGACCCUCACGACAAUUAGUUAUUAAAUUGCUAGUUACAACAAUGCUGUUACAACUGUUUUGCAAAAUUUUGAUGAAUGCUUUUUCGAUGUCUGGUUUAGAAUUAGGUUCUUGAAAGACCUUCUGAUUUAGGUUCUUUUAAAAAAAAAAGAAAU